AUAAUUGAAUUUAUUAAAUUACAUCCUGGAUUGUAUGUUACAUUUAACAAAAGAGAUUAAAAUAUUACGAGUACAAAAUAAUACAGCAAUUGUAUCUAGGCCUAUGGGAGCAAUACAAUUCUGAUUGCAAAAAAUAUUUUUUACAUUACGCACAGUUGAGAUAUUUCACAGUAUGUGUAACACUUUACAUAAUGGCAGGGCUGUACGCUUACUUUUUUAAAUGGUAGCACAAAAAUAAUUUUGGUAGCACACAUACUAUAGUCAAAAAAUAAAUAUUAUUCAGGUACAACUAUGUGAACAGAAUAGGACGUGUGUAUACAAAAGUAAAACAAUAUGAACAAAUUUAACAACAGUUAAAGUGACAAUGAACAUAUUAAAUAGUAAAGUGACUAUGAGAGCCUCUUUUAAAACAUCAGCAGCCAGAAGUGGUGAACACAUUCAACAAAAUUAAGUAAUUAUUACAAAUUAGACAAUAUAGACUUCUUGGAUUGGUCGUAGACCAGCCAAUUGAACGUUUUUAACCACUGGGGGUUAAACCUGUAAGUUUUCCCGUUGGCCGAGACGGAGUCAUGGGUGGAGUCGGCUUCGUCCGAAGGUGCCGGUUCCGUGCUUGUGGUCGCCGAGUCAAUCUCUUCCAUACGUGGAUUUUUUUCCAAGUUUCCAUCUUUAUUUGAUGAAGAAGAACUUCCGAAUACAGAGAAAUACCUUUUCAUUUUUCUGUUUUGCUUAAAAGUGAAAUUCCCGCGACCGUUACAAAGCCUCUUCCUCAACGUGUGAAUGUUCGCGAAAUUAAGUUUUUUUGUAGUUCAGCGGAACUGGCGAGCCUAUAAUUCAAAAUACAUUUCCCUACAUGCAUCGCUCCCAUCAUGCUCCCAGCCUCCCACACACUCGCGCUUAGCAGUGCCAUUGAAAGUCGUACAGAAAGACGUAUUUUUUUCGGCACGGGUCCUUCUCACCCUUUCGCACCGGUGCGAGUGGACUUGUAUUUAUCUUCGCACGUUAGGCUAUAUAUUUCAAUAGCAAAUGCGAUCAAAGCUGUCGCACUGUACAGCCCUGAAUGACCCAAGCAUCCCAAGCUGUCCACCAGAAUGGACCUCAGAGCAGUCCAGCUGUUACUUGCUCUCCUCCAGUAAAGGCACCUGGGACUCGGCCCGUCAAGACUGUCUGGUUCGAGGAGCACAUCUGGUGACUGUGAACAGCCAGCAAGAGCAGAAGCUGAUCCUUACGAUUGGAUUUUUAGUAGAUAGAGUUUGGAUCGGCCUGCUGCAAUCAAGGGCUGGAGAAUUGGACACUGUUUGGGAAGAUGGGUCGGCGAUGGAAAGAGGGGAUGACGAAGAAAACCAUUUUUCGGAGUUACGCAAUCGCAGGAUGAGGACCUGCGCAUACUUGGACCAAAAGGAGAUGGAAAUAAAUGCCUUGAGAAGCACCUUCUGUGGGAAUAUGAACCACUGGCUUUGUGAGAAAAAACCUGUCCUAAAUAAAGGUUAACAGUAAACACGCAGUGUAUGUAGCGUCGUGUUUAAUUCUGGAAAAUCAUCAGAAUUUACCAUUUCAUUACCAGGAUUUCAAAUAUGACGAAUUUGUCAAAUGAUUUUAAGGAAUUAAAAUGAAAAGUGAGAUAAUAAGAAAAUAUACCCCAUAAAUAAUGAAUUGAAAAUAUACGGUAUAAGCCUACAAACUGUAGGAAUUAUGCUCAUGUUUUUACCUACUUGGUAAUAUUUUCUUGUUCGUGUUCCAUUUUCAUUGGCAAACAUGAAUGGAAAGAAUAUAACGAAUGGGAAUAUGUGUCGACUUUCAUCUUUCCAUACAAGUAAUGGAUUUUGUUUGAGAUUGUAUCUGUGAUAACCUUUUAAAUAAACUUGUUUUACAUGUCACUCCGGUCUGUCUGUGUGUGCGUGCG